AUUGAACGCUGGCGGCAGGCCUAACACAUGCAAGUCGAACGGUAACAGGAAGCAGCUUGCUGCUUUGCUGACGAGUGGCGGACGGGUGAGUAAUGUCUAGGAAACUGCCCGAUGGAGGGGGAUAACUACUGGAAACGGUAGCUAAUACCGCAUAACGUCGCAAGACCAAAGAGGGGGACCUUAGGGCCUCUUGCCAUCGGAUGUGCCCAGAUGGGAUUAGCUAGUAGGUGGGGUAACGGCUCACCUAGGCGACGAUCCCUAGCUGGUCUGAGAGGAUGACCAGCCACACUGGAACUGAGACACGGUCCAGACUCCUACGGGAGGCAGCAGUGGGGAAUAUUGCACAAUGGGCGCAAGCCUGAUGCAGCCAUGCCGCGUGUAUGAAGAAGGCCUUCGGGUUGUAAAGUACUUUCAGCGGGGAGGAAGGGAGUAAAGUUAAUACCUUUGCUCAUUGACGUUACCCGCAGAAGAAGCACCGGCUAACUCCGUG
rnacentral:rRNA from 1 species